GCGUCGGUGGUGCAACGGUUUAGCACAUGCUCCCGGAAAGGGUGAGAUGUGGGUUUGAAUCCCGGCUGAAGCA